UAAACUAAAAAGAGAUGGACCCGACGUCCCGACCCAAAUACACGUUCCUAACAAGAUGUACAUUGAAGAAAAUUGUGGCACACGCUACCUUCAAAUCCUAGAUCCGCCUCUGAAUACAACCAUUACUACAUCUCAAUCCAAUUUCUAGUUGAGUAACAUCUAGUUUAUGUUUCGCCUUUUGCUUUAGUUUGUGCAAUACUUAAAUACAAUUAGCGCUCAAUUUAUGCAUUGAAGUUGAUGCUCAAGCAUGAGCAUGCAUCAAAUAAAGGAAGUAAGAGGAAAGAACCAUCUCUUUUCGGGGAAGUUAGUCUUUUCAUGAGCGGAAUUGGUGCUCCAAACAUCCUCCCUUUGAAUGAAAAAAAAAAAAAAAAAAAAUCAUAUUGUGGUCUGAUAGAUGGUCUGAUGAGGGGCUGCUGAAGGAUCAACUUCCUACCAUUUACAGUUUGGUUUUAGAUCAACAGUAUCUGCUGGCUGAUUGUUUUAUUGAUGGAGGUUGUAACUUUCAUUUCAGAGGGGAUAUUAAUGAUUGGGAGUUGGACGAAUAGCUUCUCUUUUUACAGAAAUGAAGAUCGUAGAGAUUUAAAGAGUGAAGGAGGAUACAGUACACAGAUAUGGCCUGCAAAUAACUCAGGGAACUUUACUGCGAGGUUAGGCUAUGAGUGGCUGCAAGAACAGAAUCAUAGUUCUGAGAUUCUGUGGCCCUGGAAAAUACCUUCGAAACUAAGGUCCCAACCAAAAGUAGCAUGUUUUGGGAGCAUUGCUACCUUUGGAGCUUGUAUGACUCAAGAUAAUUUACAAAAGAGGGGAAUUAGCUUGUGUAACAGGUGUUUUCUAUGUAAAUGCUCUGAGGAAACUGUACUACUUGUUGCACUAUAAACAAAGAUGGCUCGUUAUUUUAAAACAAUUUUGGUGUUUAUGAGGGUGAUGCCACAGAGCUUUAAAGAUUAUCUAGAUUGUUGGCAAGGUCAGAGUGUGGAAAUAAAGUGGAAGAAGAUUUGGAGAUUAAUUCCCUUAUGCAUCACCUGGAGUGGGCAGUAUGGCAGGAGAGAACAAGAGAUGCUUUGAAGGAAAAAUCGAGUUGAUUGCCUGUGUGUUAAAUUUAGAUGCUUGUAGAACUUGUUUUGUUGGCAUAAAGAAAAUUUUAUUUUUGGUAUAUCUCAGUUUUGGACUCUGUAGGUAGGCUUGUAAUAGAGUUAUCAAUUGUUAAUAAGUUAUCUUGA